UGAGGAAUAUUGGUCAAUGGAGGAAACUCUGAACCAGCUAUGCCGCGUGUAGGAUGACAGCCUUAUUGGUUGUAAACUACUUUUGUACAGAAAUAAAAUUUCCUACGUGAUAGGAACUUGAAGGUACUGUACGAAUAAGUGUCGGCUAAUUCACGUG
rnacentral:rRNA from 1 species